UACGUAGGGUGCGAGCGUUAAUCGGAAUUACUGGGCGUAAAGCGUGCGCAGGCGGUUUUGUAAGCCAGAUGUGAAAUCCCCGGGCUCAACCUGGGAAUGGCAUUUGGGACUGCAAGGCUGGAGUGCGGCAGAGGAGACUGGAAUUCCUGGUGUAGCAGUGAAAUGCGUAGAUAUCAGGAGGAAUACCGAUGGCGAAGGCAGCCCCUGGGCCAAUACUGACGCUCAUGCACGAAAGCGUGGGGAGCAAACAGG
rnacentral:rRNA from 1 species